CGGGAAGUAGCUCAGCUUGGUAGAGCACUUGGUUUGGGACCAAGGGGUCGCAGGUUCAAAUCCUGUCUUCCCGAC
rnacentral:tRNA from 10 species